UACGUAGGACACAAGCGUUAUCCGGAGUUACUGGGCGUAAAGGGCGUGUAGGCGGAUCGGUAAGUCUACUCUGAAAUCCCCGGGCUCAACCUGGGAACUGCAUUUGUGACUGCAUAGCUAGAGUACGGUAGAGGGGGAUGGAAUUCCGCGUGUAGCAGUGAAAUGCGUAGAUAUGCGGAGGAACACCGAUGGCGAAGGCAAUCCCCUGGACCUGUACUGACGCUCAUGCACGAAAGCGUGGGGAGCAAACAGG
rnacentral:rRNA from 1 species